GUGGGGAAUCUUCCGCAAUGGACGAAAGUCUGACGGAGCGACGCCGCGUGAGUGAAGAAGGCCUUCGGGUCGUAAAGCUCUGUCAUCAGGGACGAAUGGCCGGUGGAGUGGAAAGCCACCGGAUUGACGGUACCUGAGAAGGAAGCCACGGCUAACUACGUGCCAGCAGCCGCGGUAAUACGUAGGUGGCAAGCGUUGUCCGGAAUUAUUGGGCGUAAAGCGCGCGCAGGUGGGAUCUUAAGUCCAUUUUGAAAGUUCGGAGCUCAACUCUGUGAUGGGAUGGAAACUGGGAUUCUUGAGUACCGGAGAGUAAAGCGGAAUUCCCCGUGUAGCGGUGAAAUGCGUAGAUAUGGGGAGGAACACCAGUGGCGAAGGCGGCUUUCUGGACGGUGUCUGACACUGAGGCGCGAAAGCUAGGGGAGCGAACGGGAUUAGAUACCCGAGUAGUCC
rnacentral:rRNA from 1 species